rnacentral:rRNA from 1 species
GCUUGUCUCAAAGAUUAAGCCAUGCAUGUCUAAGUAUAAGCACUUAUACCGUGAAACUGCGAAUGGCUCAUUAUAUCAGUUAUAGUUUAUUUGAUAGUUCCUACUACUUGGAUAACCGUAGUAAUUCUAGAGCUAAUACAUGCAUCAAACCCCGACUUCUGGAAGGGGUGUAUUUAUUAGAUGGAAACCAAUGCAGGGCAACCUGGAAUAUGGUGAUUCAUAAUAACUCGCGGAUCGGUUUACCGAUGCAUCAUUCAAGUUUCUGCCCUAUCAGCUUUGGAUGGUAGGAUAGAGGCCUACCAUGGUGGUAACGGGUGACGGAGGAUUAGGGUUCGAUUCCGGAGAGGGAGCCUGAGAGAUGGCUACCACAUCCAAGGAAGGCAGCAGG